CUCUCUCCUCUCCCUGCCUGUGGUCAAUGGCAUGGGAGGGUGUGCUGCCGUACGGCCGCUGGGACUGUUAGUGUGCGUUUAAGCGCCAGCGGGGAUGCUCCAUGAACUGAAGGAGCAGGUGUCCACCAGGAUGAUGACCCUGUGGCACAGCCUGUCCCAGCUGGGCAAUAGCAUCCAGGAGGUCACAGGAGGAAUGCGGGUGGCAUUCACGGCCACCAUGAGUCCCAAAAGCCACUGCUUCGGCCCCUUCACCAGUAACGUGCCGAUUCCCUACACCGAGAUCUCCCUCAACCACGGAAACUGCUAAAACCCUGCCCUGGAGGCUGAACCACAAGCUGCGGCUGAUGAGGAAUGGGGAGAUGGUGGUGUCCACGUGGGAGGAUAACGAGGAGGACUCGGAAGACAGACCGCCCUGGUCCUGCUGGACAGAGGCAGCCAGACGUACGUGGAGCUGCUCUCUGGAAGACAGCUGUGUGGAGGCGGAAACCCAUAGACAGACAUAUUGUACAUCCAAUGAGACAUACAACUGUACUGAACAGUUAAAAGCACAUGAAAAUUGUAGUCAACUCUGAUCAUUCUCCUUAAAAAAGCAAUCUAUGUAUUUUUUUAAAUAAAAAAGGU